GCGUCGGUGGUUCAGUGGUAGAAUACUCGCCUCCCACGCGGGUCGCCCGGGUUCGAUUCCCGGCUGACGCA
rnacentral:tRNA from 1 species